rnacentral:lncRNA from 1 species
UCACCAAGACCAAUAUGAACAAGUCCACCAAGAAGAUCCACACAAGCCCCAAGUUUCAAUGUGUCAAUUGGGCAUGUUGCCUUUGUAGUUGGUGGACAUGGUUUUUUCCCUUUAGGUGAUGGGGUAAUUACUGGUGGAACUGUGACAGGUGGAAGCCCAAUAGGUGGCAACUUGAUGGGGGGUUUGACAACUGGUGGUAAAGUGAUAGGCGGUUUUACAACUGGUGGAACUGUGACAGGUGGAAUUCCAAUAGGUGGCAAAUUGAUAGGCGGUUUUACAACCGGUGGUAAAGUAAUAGGCGGUUUUACAACUGGUGGAACUGUGACGGGUGGAAGUCCAAUAGGUGGCAAAUUGAUAGGCGGUUUUACAACUGGUGGAACUGUGACGGGCGGAAUUCCAAUAGGUGGCAAAUUGAUAGGGGGUUUGACAAUGGGAGAGGGAGUUUUGGGCUUCUUGGUCUUGGGCUUGUGAGAAGGUUUACCACAAUAGCCACAACCAAGAAUGGGAGUUAAAGAGGAAAGCAAAAGCAUGCAAAUGAAAAGAAGUGAAGUUAUCUUAGAGAACUCCAUUUUUUUAAGAGGGAAAAGAAAAG